CGCGAAUAGCUCAUUACAACAGCCGUUGUUUCUUGGAUCUCUUCUCUACUUGGAUAACUGUGGUAAUUCUAGAGCUAAUACAUGCAAUCAAGCCCCGAUCGUGAGUGACGGGCGCAUUUAUUAGAACAAGACCAUCUGGCUUCGUGCCAUCUAAUGGUGACUCUGAAUAACUGAGCCGAUCGCGUGGGCUCGACCCGGCGACGUAUCUUUCAAGUGUCUGCCUUAUCAGGUUUCGUUGGCGGUUUAUGUGACCGCCAAGCCUGUAACGGGUAACGGAGGAUCAGGGUCUGACUCCGGAGAGGGAGCCUGAGAAACGGCUACCACUUCCAAGGAAGGCAGCAGGC
rnacentral:rRNA from 1 species